AUCGUUUUUAUAGGCAAACUCAGUAGUUGGAAGAACUUAUCCCCCUUGCUCGGUCUCCCUUGCACUAAGCUCUUCAGCAAGUCUUCCAGUAAACCGACGACUGGAGUCUGGCCGUCCUGAGUGAUAAGCACUACUAAACCUCAGUUCAGUGCCUAAUUUCUUCCAUAGCACCCUCUAUUAGAGGGCAGACUGCUGUCUUGAUCGGGCGUAAUGCUCCCCCUU
rnacentral:lncRNA from 1 species